GCUUUCUACAGUGUGUGUGUGUGUAUACAUCGAUUAUGCUUUCUUCAGGUGGGUGUGUGUAUACGCAUUGCUUUCUCAGGUGUGUGUGUGUAUACAGCAGUUGCUUCUCCGUUGUGUGUGUGUGUGUAUACAGUGAUAUGCUUUCUCAGGUGUGUGUGUGUAUACAGUGAUAUGCUUUCUCAGGUGUGUGUGUGUAUACAGCGGUAUGCUUUCUCAGGUGUGUGUGUAUCUGCAGUGAUAUGCUUUCUCAGGUGUGUGUGUAUCUGCAGUGAUAUGCUUUCUCAGGUGUGUGUGUAUCUGCAGUGAUAUGCUUUCUCAAGUGUGUGUGUAUCUGCAGUGAUAUGUUUUCUCAGGUGUGUGUGUGUGUAUACAGCAGUCUGCUUUCUCAGCCCUGGGUCAGACUGAGUGGAGGUUACAAGAAGAGCAGAACAGUCAGGAAGUGAGACUGAUAUCACCAUAGUAAGUAGUGUAGAAGAGAAUUAAGACAUUCUCUCUGUUGUCAUGUGCUACUAGUCUCUCGCUCUUCCUCUCUCCAUCUCUCUCUUCGGCCCAGGUGAACCUGAGUAUCGUGUGUUUCAGUGCAAACCGCAGAC
rnacentral:lncRNA from 1 species